AUACGUAGGUGGCAAGCGUUGUCCGGAUUUACUGGGCGUAAAGGGAGCGUAGGCGGACUUUUAAGUGAGAUGUGAAAUACCCGGGCUCAACCUGGGUGCUGCAUUUCAAACUGGAAGUCUAGAGUGCAGGAGAGGAGAGUGGAAUUCCUAGUGUAGCGGUGAAAUGCGUAGAGAUUAGGAAGAACACCAGUGGCGAAGGCGACUCUCUGGACUGUAACGGACGCUGAGGCUCGAAAGCGUGGGGAGCAAACAGGAUUAGAUACCCGGGUAGUCCACGCCGUAAACGAUGAAUACUAGGUGUAGAGGUUGUCAUGACCUCUGUGCCGCCGCUAACGCAUUAAGUAUUCCGCCUGGGGAGUACGGUCGCAAGACUGAAACUUAAAGGAAUUGACGGGG
rnacentral:rRNA from 1 species